rnacentral:siRNA from 1 species
CCGUGUCUCUAUAUCACAACCUU